GCUGUCGGCCUUGGCCCGUCAAAUAGGGGGACGCCUCCUUCCUUCCUCCCAUCCCACCAUCGGCGGCGUGCACCACUUCUCUCCUGCUGCCGCUCGCACAGUCUCGCAGCUCCCCAUACCUCACCGCUUUGCUCGCCACACGAAGGCGAGAGACGAAUCCGGCCGAGCCUCCGCCGCCGCUCAGCUCUUCCGCUCGGGACCUCGACUCGUCGAGGCGGAGUUCCUCGCCCCGUCCGUUCUCCAUUCCCGGCACCAGUUCAGGCUUCGUACUCCAGCUCCAGCUGCAGUGUGACCCUUACCACCGGGACGGUGGCGCGCGCAGGGGCAAAUCGUAUUGCCAUGGCGGUUCAGUAGAAUGGUGCAUUCGGGGGGCGCAGGCUGCCACCGGUGUGGUUUGUGGCCAAGUGGAUCCGCCCCAAUUAUCGUUAUCACCAUCUCGAUGAUGCGCCCUUCCCAUUUCAGAGCACAUGCGGUGCAUUUAGAUUGUCCCCCUAGAACUGAACAGAGAAAUGUUGACGAUUUAGUGGUGAUGAGGCCUUACCAGCGGCCUGGGUCAGGGGACGAUUUCGCCAAGCGGAAGAAUGCGGGUAAUGUGGUAGUAAUGCGGCCAGAACGAAGAAUGCGGGAUGGUUCGGUGGAUCGUGCAGCCUCUGGAAAUGGCAGAGCAGCCGGGGACAUCGAGAGGGCCAUUUUGUCCCUGCAAGCUAAGCCGUGGAAACACUUGGGUCAGAACUCAAACGAGGGGGUUGAUUUGCCAAAAGAUAAAGGGGUGUUUUAUGCUGGCAACCUUCGCCGGUACUGCAACAAUGGGAAGCUCAUUCAAGCUUGCUGUGUGAUUGAUGAGAUGGUGCUACAUGGCCAAAUUCCGGAUGCUAAGAGUUGUAUUAGAUUAAUCCGUGGCCUUGUUAAAACUGGUAAGGCAAAUAAAGCCAGGGAUGUCCUUGAGGUUAUGGCGCUCUCAGGUGGGAUUCCAGAUACCAUCACCUGUAACAUGCUGAUUGCGCAACUUUGCUGCACAAGGCAGCUGGAUUUGGCGAUGAACGUACUGGAGGACAUGAGGUAUGGCGGUAUCUCUCCGAACGGCAUCACUUUUAACACUUUGAUUAGGUGCAUGUGCAACCAGCGUAUGUAUGGCCGGGCAAUCACCUUUUGGAAAGAGCAAUUAAGAAUAGGUUGGCCACCAUAUGUUAUGACGAGCACCUUGCUUGUUGAUCUUGUAUGCAAAAACUGUGGUCCUAAGCGUGCCAUGGAAGUCUUGAAUGAACUUGCUCUGGAGGGAUGUCAACCAGAUGUUGUCACCUACAAUGCUCUUAUCAGUGCAUCAUGUAAAGCAGGCAGGCUGAAGGACGCAAAGACCAUCUUAACUCGUCUUAUUGCUGAAGGCCUUGAACCAAAUAGUACAACCUAUUGCAUCUUACUCCAUUCUCUCUGCAAUACAAAAAGGUGGGCUGAAGUUUGUGAUUUACUUGCACAUAUGAACCAUGCAAAUUGUGAGCCUGAUGUUACUGCCUACAAUAUCUUUAUCAACUACUUCUGUAAGUAUGGACAUCUCGAUCAGGCUAUUGGUGUGUUGGAGAUGAUGGUUAGUGAUAAAUGUUUUCCUGAUAUAGUGACGUACAACACACUCCUAAAUGCCAUAUGUAAAGAGGGUAUGGUGGAAGAAGCUCUUUUGAUAGCCCAUUGCAUCAGAGAAAAUGGAUGGCAGUUGGUUCGUAUUACAUACAACACCCUGAUAGAUGCUUUAGCAAACAAGGGUGAGGUGAACAAAGCUAUGGAUCUGUUUGAUGAGAUGGCUAGUGAUGGGAUCAGUCCCGAUGACAUUACUUAUGGUUCACUUGUUAUGUGCUUCUGUAGGAAAAACAUGGCUGAAGAGGCCCUACUGCUCUUGAAUCGGACGCUUGCUCUUGGUUUUCAGGUUAAAGUAACUACUUUUGUCAUGGUGAUCCAGGCAUUGUGCAGAGAUAGCAAAGCAGAAGCUGCUGCUGAUAUACUGCGAGUAAUGGUAUCAGAAACUAAAAACACCAGUAACUCAUUUUAUCUAUCUAUAGUCAGAAGAGUCGCCAAUUCAGGCAGGAUUGAAGAAGCAGAAAGGCUGCUUCAGGAAUUAGUUGACUGCAAGAUAGUGAAAGAAGAUUCCCCUGUUGUGUUGAGCAGCUAGCUACUAGAGCGUGAUGCCAAGAUACUUCCUAGUCGUGAAAUAUGGAAGUCAGCUAACUUAGCAGAUAACUCCUGGAAGUUAUGCAUAAUGUCUCGGCAAGCAAAGGGGCUCUUAUGAGUCUGAGAGGAACGAUGGCUUUUCUUGAUGGUCCUCUGCAAAAGUCUCGUUCCGGUGCUAUGCAAUUAUGCUUCAAUUGUCCAGACGUCGCAAUGGUGUGCCCGUACCCUGCCCGCGUCACAUCUUCAAGCAGCACCGUAGCCGUGGUUCGGUGCUGCGGCGAUGUGCUUGGAGGUGAAUGAAUCGUCACGCUUUAUUCUUUCGGCCUCAGAAAGAUGAUGUAUUUUGCUUAAAAUUUAACUUUUAAAAGUAUUUUGUCUAAAGUUUGGAUGCAUGUAAUGGCGGCAGCAGUAGCGUGCAUCUUAUCGUCUGUUUCCUGA